UGUAUAAUGGGUCAGCGACUUAUAUUCUGUAGCAAGGUUAACCGAAUAGGGGAGCCGAAGGGAAACCGAGUCUUAACUGGGCGUUAAGUUGCAGGGUAUAGACCCGAAACCCGGUGAUCUAGCCAUGGGCAGGUUGAAGGUUGGGUAACACUAACUGGAGGACCGAACCGACUAAUGUUGAAAAAUUAGCGGAUGACUUGUGGCUGGGGGUGAAAGGCCAAUCAAACCGGGAGAUAGCUGGUUCUCCCCGAAAGCUAUUUAGGUAGCGCCUCGUGAAUUCAUCUCCGGGGGUAGAGCACUGUUUCGGCAAGGGGGUCAUCCCGACUUACCAACCCGAUGCAAACUGCGAAUACCGGAGAAUGUUAUCACGGGAGACACACGGCGGGUGCUAACGUCCGUCGUGAAGAGGGAAACAACCCAGACCGCCAGCUAAGGUCCCAAAGUCAUGGUUAAGUGGGAAACGAUGUGGGAAGGCCCAGACAGCCAGGAUGUUGGCUUAGAAGCAGCCAUCAUUUAAAGAAAGCGUAAUAGCUCACUGGUCGAGUCGGCCUGCGCGGAAGAUGUAACGGGGCUAAACCAUGCACCGAAGCUGCGGCAGCGACGCUUAUGCGUUGUUGGGUAGGGGAGCGUUCUGUAAGCCUGUGAAGGUGUACUGUGAGGUAUGCUGGAGGUAUCAGAAGUGCGAAUGCUGACAUAAGUAACGAUAAAGCGGGUGAAAAGCCCGCUCGCCGGAAGACCAAGGGUUCCUGUCCAACGUUAAUCGGGGCAGGGUGAGUCGACCCCUAAGGCGAGGCCGAAAGGCGUAGUCGAUGGGAAACAGGUUAAUAUUCCUGUACUUGGUGUUACUGCGAAGGGGGGACGGAGAAGGCUAUGUUGGCCGGGCGACGGUUGUCCCGGUUUAAGCGUGUAGGCUGGUUUUCCAGGCAAAUCCGGAAAAUCAAGGCUGAGGCGUGAUGACGAGGCACUACGGUGCUGAAGCAACAAAUGCCCUGCUUCCAGGAAAAGCCUCUAAGCAUCAGGUAACAUCAAAUCGUACCCCAAACCGACACAGGUGGUCAGGUAGAGAAUACCAAGGCGCUUGAGAGAACUCGGGUGAAGGAACUAGGCAAAAUGGUGCCGUAACUUCGGGAGAAGGCACGCUGAUAUGUAGGUGAAGCGACUUGCUCGUGGAGCUGAAAUCAGUCGAAGAUACCAGCUGGCUGCAACUGUUUAUUAAAAACACAGCACUGUGCAAACACGAAAGUGGACGUAUACGGUGUGACGCCUGCCCGGUGCCGGAAGGUUAAUUGAUGGGGUUAGCGGUAACGCGAAGCUCUUGAUCGAAGCCCCGGUAAACGGCGGCCGUAACUAUAACGGUCCUAAGGUAGCGAAAUUCCUUGUCGGGUAAGUUCCGACCUGCACGAAUGGCGUAAUGAUGGCCAGGCUGUCUCCACCCGAGACUCAGUGAAAUUGAACUCGCUGUGAAGAUGCAGUGUACCCGCGGCAAGACGGAAAGACCCCGUGAACCUUUACUAUAGCUUGACACUGAACAUUGAGCCUUGAUGUGUAGGAUAGGUGGGAGGCUUUGAAGUGUGGACGCCAGUCUGCAUGGAGCCGACCUUGAAAUACCACCCUUUAAUGUUUGAUGUUCUAACGUUGGCCCCUGAUC
rnacentral:rRNA from 1 species